rnacentral:rRNA from 1 species
GAUGAACGCUAGCUACAGGCUUAACACAUGCAAGUCGAGGGGCAGCAGGACGAUAGCUUGCUAUUGUUGCUGGCGACCGGCGCACGGGUGAGUAACGCGUAUCCAACCUUCCCCUUAGUAGGGCAUAGCCCGGUGAAAAUCGGAUUAAUACCCUAUGUUCUUCGUAGAGGACAUCUGAAAUGAAGCAAAGGUUCACCGCUAAGGGAUGGGGAUGCGUCUGAUUAGGUAGUAGGCGGGGUAACGGCCCACCUAGCCGACGAUCAGUAGGGGUUCUGAGAGGAAGGUCCCCCACAUUGGAACUGAGACACGGUCCAAACUCC